rnacentral:lncRNA from 12 species
ACUGUACUAUUGUUCUUUUAACUCAGCCAUAGCCUCCUCUCCUGUAUCCAUUAAGAAGGGCUCAUAGGAGCUGCUGUCCCUAAGUUAUCACAUUCCUUCUACUAAAUUGACUGACUAUAGUCCCAUGGCAUAUCCUGCUGAGGAGCUCUAGAAAUACCCCCUGUAUUAUUGAAAUAAGUCACCAGCUUAGAUGUUGACUAAAUUG